CUACACGACCGUACCGCAAACCGACACUGGUGCGCGAGAUGAGUAUUCUAAGGCGCUUGAGAGAACUCAGGAGAAGGAACUCGGCAAAUUGACACCGUAACUUCGGAAGAAGGUGUGCCUUUAGUAGGUGAAGGGAUUUACUCCUGGAGCCCAAUGAGGUUGCAAAAAAUCGGUGGCUGCGACUGUUUAUUAAAAACACAGCACUCUGCAAACACGAAAGUGGACGUAUAGGGUGUGACGCCUGCCCGGUGCUGGAAGAUUAAAUGAUGGGGUGCAAGCUCUUGAUUGAAGUCCCAGUAAACGGCGGCCGUAACAAUAACGGUCCUAAGGUAGCGAAAUUCCUUGUCGGGUAAGUUCCGACCUGCACGAAUGGCGUAACGAUGGCCACACUGUCUCCUCCUGAGACUCAGCGAAGUUGAAAUGUUUGUGAUGAUGCAAUCUCCCCGCGGAAAGACGGAAAGACCCCAUGAACCUUUACUGUAGCUUUGUAUUGGACUUUGAACAGAUCUGUGUAGGAUAGGUGGGAGGCUUUGAAGCAGGGUCGCUAGAUCUUGUGGAGCCAACGUUGAAAUACCACCCUGGUGUGUUUGAGGUUCUAACCUAGGCCCGUAAUCCGGGUUGGGGACAGUGCAUGGUAGGCAGUUUGACUGGGGCGGUCUCCUCCCAAAGUGUAACGGAGGAGUUCGAAGGUACGCUAGUUACGGUCGGACAUCGUGACGAUAGUGCAAUGGCAUAAGCGUGCUUAACUGCGAGACUGACAAGUCGAGCAGAUGCGAAAGCAGGACAUAGUGAUCCGGUGGUUCUGUAUGGAAGGGCCAUCGCUCAACGGAUAAAAGGUACUCUGGGGAUAACAGGCUGAUACCGCCCAAGAGUUCAUAUCGACGGCGGUGUUUGGCACCUCGAUGUCGGCUCAUCUCAUCCUGGGGCUGUAGCCGGUCCCAAGGGUAUGGCUGUUCGCCAUUUAAAGAGGUACGUGAGCUGGGUUUAAAACGUCGUGAGACAGUUUGGUCCCUAUCUUCCGUGGGCGCUGCAGAUUUGAGGAAGCCUGCUCCUAGUACGAGAGGACCGGAGUGGACGCACCUCUGGUGUAUCGGUUGUCACGCCAGUGGCAUUGCCGAGUAGCUAUGUGCGGAAGAGAUAACCGCUGAAAGCAUCUAAGCGGGAAACUCGUUUCAAGAUGAGAUCUGCCGGGGCCUUGAGCCCCCUGAAGAGUCGUUCAAGACCAGGACGUUGAUAGGUCGGGUGUGGAAGCGCAGUAAUGCGUUAAGCUAACCGAUACUAAUUGCUCGUGCGGCUUGACCCC
rnacentral:rRNA from 1 species